AUGGCGACCGGCGCACGGGUGAGUAACACGUAUCCAACCUGCCGAUAACUCGGGGAUAGCCUUUCGAAAGAAAGAUUAAUACCCGAUGGUAUAAUCAGACCGCAUGGUCUUGUUAUUAAAGAAUUUCGGUUAUCGAUGGGGAUGCGUUCCAUUAGGCAGUUGGUGAGGUAACGGCUCACCAAACCUUCGAUGGAUAGGGGUCCUGAGAGGAAGGUCCCCCACAUUGGAACUGAGACACGGUCCAA
rnacentral:rRNA from 1 species